rnacentral:rRNA from 1 species
CCUACGGGCGGCAGCAGUGAGGAAUAUUGGUCAAUGGACGAGAGUCUGAACCAGCCAAGUAGCGUGAAGGAUGACUGCCCUAUGGGUUGUAAACUUCUUUUAUAUGGGAAUAAAGUGCGGUAUGUAUGCUUUUUUGCAUGUACCUUAUGAAUAAGGAUCGGCUAACUCCGUGCCAGCAGCCGCGGUAAUACGGAGGAUCCGAGCGUUAUCCGGAUUUAUUGGGUUUAAAGGGAGCGUAGGCGGGUUGUUAAGUCAGUUGUGAAAGUUUGCGGCUCAACCGUAAAAUUGCAGUUGAUACUGGCAGUCUUGAGUACAGUAGAGGUAGGCGGAAUUCGUGGUGUAGCGGUGAAAUGCUUAGAUAUCACGAAGAACUCCGAUUGCGAAGGCAGCUUGCUAAACUGUAACUGACAUUGAUGCUCGAAAGUGUGGGUAUCAAACAGGAUUAGAUACCCUAGUAGUC